UACAUGGGGUGCAAACGUUGCUCGGAAUUAUUGGGCGUAAAGCGCGCGUAGGCGGUUACUCAAGUCGGAUGUGAAAGCCCUCGGCUUAACUGAGGAAGUGCACCCGAAACUGAGUAGCUAGAGUACUAAAGAGGGUCGCGGAAUUCCCGGUGUAGAGGUGAAAUUCGUAGAUAUCGGGAGGAACACCAACGGCGAAGGCAGCUCGCUGGGACGGUACUGACGCUGAGACGCGAAAGCGUGGGGAGCGAACAGG
rnacentral:rRNA from 1 species